GGGCGUUUAGCUCAGUUGGUUCAGAGCAUCUGCCUUACAAGCAGAGGGUCGGCGGUUCAAAUCCGUCAACGCCCA
rnacentral:tRNA from 1 species